rnacentral:rRNA from 1 species
ACGGAAGGCAGUAGUGGGGAAUAUUGGACAAUGGGGGAAACCCUGAUCCAGCGACGCCGCGUGAGUGAAGAAGUAUUUCGGUAUGUAAAGCUCUAUCAGCAGGGAAGAUAAUGACGGUACCUGACUAAGAAGCCCCGGCUAACUACGUGCCAGCAGCCGCGGUAAUACGUAGGGGGCAAGCGUUAUCCGGAUUUACUGGGUGUAAAGGGAGCGUAGACGGUAUGGCAAGUCUGAUGUGAAAACCCAGGGCUCAACCCUGGGACUGCAUUGGAAACUGUCAAACUAGAGUGCAGGAGAGGUAAGUGGAAUUCCUAGUGUAGCGGUGAAAUGCGUAGAUAUUAGGAGGAACACCAGUGGCGAAGGCGGCUUUCUGGACUGUAACUGACACUGAGGCACGAAAGCGUGGGGAGCAAACAGGAUUAGAUACCCUGGUA